GCUCUCCGGGUGACGAGCGGCGGACGGGUGAGCAAUGUCUGGGAAACUGCCUGAUGGCGGGGGAUAACUAGUGGAAACGGUAGCUAAUACCGCAUAACGUCGCAAGACCAAAGUGGGGGACCUUCGGGCCUCACGCCAUCAGAUGUGCCCAGGUGGGAUUAGCUAGUAGGUGGGGUAACGGCCCACCCAGGCGACGAUCCCUAGCUGGUCUGAGAGGAUGACCAGCCACACUGGAACUGAGACACGGUCCAGACUCCUACGGGAGGCAGCAGUGGGGAAUAUUGCACAAUGGGCGCAAGCCUGAUGCAGCCAUGCCGCGUGUGUGAAGAAGGCC
rnacentral:rRNA from 1 species